rnacentral:misc_RNA from 1 species
CUGGGGAAAUUUAGAGAGUUUAACUUUCUUAAUGCCAUUGAAUCCAUCCAUUUCCAUAUAGAAAUCGUAUGGUGGCAUUAAGGUCGCCCUUCCAAAGCCAUAUUCCAAAAUGACUUCUCAUUUGUACACACUGCAGCUUUGGUGUGCUCAAUGCUCCAGCAGAGAAUGUCCUCAUAUUGGGGCAUCUUUCCACAGUUACCA